rnacentral:rRNA from 1 species
CCCCUAGAUGUUCUGGGCCGCACGCGCGCUACACUGAACAGUUCAACAAGUCUUAACCUUGGCCGAUAGGUCUGGGUAAUCUUUGAACGCUGUUCGUGAUUGGGAUAGACCUUUGCAAUUAUGGCUCUUCAACGAGGAAUUCCUAGUAAACGCAAGUCAUCAGCUUGCAUUGAUUACGUCCCUGCCCUUUGUACACACCGCCCGUCGCACCUACCGAUUGAAUGGUCCGGUGAAAUCUCGGGACGGCGGCUUGGUCGCUUGCGUCCGACUGCUGAAACUUGAUUAAACCAUAUCAUUUAGAGGAAGGUGAAGUCGUAACA